UUUAAAUUUAUAUUUUUUUAUAGUUAUUGUGCUGUUUAACUUUCUUAUAAAAGAGAGUGAGGAAUUAAAAAGGUGGCCACCGAACAGAAAGUUAAACUGCAAUAUACUAUAAUCUUUUUAGUUAUUGUUUACAUUUUUAACUGAUAAAUUAUGAAUAUAAAAUUUCAAAUUAAUUUAAAUUCAAAAAUAAAAGAACACCAACAUAGAUUUCUUAAACAUUGAAAUUUUACUAUAAGUUUAAAUUACAUUUAAUCUGCACAUUAGUUGAAGUUUUAUAGGAACCGAACAUUUGGCUGGAUCAUGGACGACUAUCCACCGACGAAGAAUUUGUCAUUGAGCUGAAGGAAAAUGUGUCGGCACUCGGCUUCUUUUCAACACGGCGGACCUCUGGCAGCAGCAAAAAGAAAUUCAACUGAUGAUCAACUGUCGAAAGGAUUUGUUGAGAAGAAGAAUUUGUCAUUGAGCUGAUGGAAAAUGUGUCGGCACUCGGCUUCGUUUCAACCAGGAGGAAGAUUGGCAGCAUCAAUAGACGUUCAUCUUAAUGUCAACUAUUGAAAGGAUUUGUUUUGCAUUAUAAUAUAAGUUUAAAAUACAUUUAAUCUGCAUAUUAUUUGAAGUUUUAUAGGAACAGAACAUUUAACUGGAUCAUGGACGACUAUCCACCGACGAAGAAUUUGUCAUUGAGCUGAAGGAAAAUGUGUCGGCACUCGGCUUCGUUUCAACACCGAGGACGUCUGGCGGCAGCAAAAAGAAAUUCAACUGAUCAUCAACUGCCCAAAGGAUUUGUUGUGAAGAAGAAUUUGUCAUUGAGCUGAUGGGAAAUGUGUCGGCACUCGGCUUCUUUUCAACACGGCGGACCUCUGGCAGCAGCAAAAAGAAAUUCAACUGAUGAUCAACGGUCGAAAGGAUUUGUUGUGAAGAAGAAUUUGUCAUUGAGCUGAUGGGAAAUUUGUCGGAUUUGGCUGUAUAUCAACACGGAGGACGUCUAGCAGCAGCAAAAAGAUAUUCAACUGACGAUAAUCAGCUGUCGAAAGGAUUUGUUGUGAAGAAGAAUUUGUCAUUGAGCUGAUGGGAAAUGUGUUGGCACUCGGCUGUAUUUCAACACGGAGGACGUCUGGCAGCAGCAAAAAUAUAUUCAAUUGAUGAUCAACUGUCCAAAGGAUUUGUUGAGAAGAAGAAUUUGUCAUUGAGCUGAUGGAAAAUGUGUCGGCACACGGCUUCGUUUCAACCAGGAGGAAGAUUGGCAGCAUCAAUAGACGUUCAUCUUAAUGUCAACUGUUGAAAGGAUUUGUUUUGCAUUAUAAUUUAAGUUUAAAAUACAUUUAAUCUGCAUAUUAUUUGAAGUUUUAUAGGAACAGAACAUUUAACUGGAUCAUGGACGACUAUCCACCGACGAAGAAUUUGUCAUAGAGCUGAUGGAAAAUGUGUCGGCACUCGGCUUCUUUUCAACACAGAGGACGUCUGGCGGCAGCAAAAAGAAAUUCAACUGAUGAUCAACUGCCAAAAGGAUUUGUUGUGAAGAAGAAUUUGUCAUUGAGCUGAUGGGAAAUGUGUCGGCACUCGGCUUCUUUUCAACACGGCGGACCUCUGGCAGCAGCAAAAAGAAAUUCAACUGAUGAUCAACGGUCGAAAGGACUUGUUGUGAAGAAGAAUUUGUCAUUGAGCUGAUGGGAAAUGUGUUGGCACUCGGCUGUAUUUCAACACGGAGGACGUCUGGCAGCAGCAAAAAUAUAUUCAAUUGAUGAUCAACUGUCCAAAGGAUUUGUUGAGAAGAAGAAUUUGUCAUUGAGCUGAUGGAAAAUGUGUCGGCACACGGCUUCGUUUCAACCAGGAGGAAGAUUGGCAGCAUCAAUAGACGUUCAUCUUAAUGUCAACUGUUGAAAGGAUUUGUUUUGCAUUAUAAUUUAAGUUUAAAAUACAUUUAAUCUGCAUAUUAUUUGAAGUUUUAUAGGAACAGAACAUUUAACUGGAUCAUGGACGACUAUCCACCGACGAAGAAUUUGUCAUAGAGCUGAUGGAAAAUGUGUCGGCACUCGGCUUCUUUUCAACACAGAGGACGUCUGGCGGCAGCAAAAAGAAAUUCAACUGAUGAUCAACUGCCAAAAGGAUUUGUUGUGAAGAAGAAUUUGUCAUUGAGCUGAUGGGAAAUGUGUCGGCACUCGGCUUCUUUUCAACACGGCGGACCUCUGGCAGCAGCAAAAAGAAAUUCAACUGAUGAUCAACGGUCGAAAGGACUUGUUGUGAAGAAGAAUUUGUCAUUGAGCUGAUGGGAAAUUUGUCGGAUUUGGCUGUAUAUCAACACGGAGGACGUCUAGCAGCAGCAAAAAGAUAUUCAACUGACGAUAUUCAACUGUCGAAAGGAUUUGUUGUGAAGAAGAAUUUGUCAUUGAGCUGAUGGGAAAUGUGUCGGCACACGGCUUCGUUUCAACCAGGAGGAAGAUUGGCAGCAUCAAUAGACGUUCAUCUUAAUGUCAACUAUUGAAAGGAUUUGUUUUGCAUUAUAAUAUAAGUUUAAAAUACAUUUAAUCUGCAUAUUAUUUGAAGUUUUAUAGGAACAGAACAUUUAACUGGAUCAUGGACGACUAUCCACCGACGAAGAAUUUGUCAUUGAGCUGAAGGAAAAUGUGUCGGCACUCGGCUUCGUUUCAACACCGAGGACGUCUGGCGGCAGCAAAAAGAAAUUCAACUGAUCAUCAACUGCCCAAAGGAUUUGUUGUGAAGAAGAAUUUGUCAUUGAGCUGAUGGGAAAUGUGUCGGCACUCGGCUUCUUUUCAACACGGCGGACCUCUGGCAGCAGCAAAAAGAAAUUCAACUGAUGAUCAACGGUCGAAAGGAUUUGUUGUGAAGAAGAAUUUGUCAUUGAGCUGAUGGGAAAUUUGUCGGAUUUGGCUGUAUAUCAACACGGAGGACGUCUGGCAGCAGCAAAAAUAUAUUCAAUUGAUGAUCAACUGUCCAAAGGAUUUGUUGAGAAGAAGAAUUUGUCAUUGAGCUGAUGGAAAAUGUGUCGGCACUCGGCUUCGUUUCAACCAGGAGGAAGAUUGGCAGCAAAAAGAUAUUCAACUGACGAUAAUCAACUGUCGAAAGGAUUUGUUGUGAAGAAGAAUUUGUCACAAAGCUGAUGGGAAAAGUUUCGGCACUCGGCUUCGUUUCAACCUGGAGGAAGAUUGGCAGCAUUAUAGUAUAAGUUUUCCCCUUACGCAUUAGCGCUCAUCUCUCAUCCACUCAUCCAACACAUUGACUAUCGCCGGCCGGCAACACACACAUAUUAUACACAUUACCCGUUUUAUAUUGUAUAGAAUUAUUAAUAUCUACAUAGUUUAAGUUAUUGUAUAUUUUUUUUUUUUUUUAUUUGAAUGCAUUUAUAUGAUCAGUUGCGUAUUUAGAAAUUGUAUGAUAAGGGCAACACAUAUUUUGCUGCCUCCCUCCCAUUAAAAAAAAAAUUAAAAUGCCUCGCAUUGGUCAAACUGUUAAUACCAUAGAAUACCAUGUUAUAUACUUUUAUAAACAUUAUAGUAUUUUACACCUCUA